GAUGAACGCUGGCGGCGUGCCUAAUACAUGCAAGUCGAGCGAAUGGAUUAAGAGCUUGCUCUUAUGAAGUUAGCGGCGGACGGGUGAGUAACACGUGGGUAACCUGCCCAUAAGACUGGGAUAACUCCGGGAAACCGGGGCUAAUACCGGAUAAUAUUUUGAACUGCAUGGUUCAAAAUUGAAAGGCGGCUUCGGCUGUCACUUAUGGAUGGACCCGCGUCGCAUUAGCUAGUUGGUGAGGUAACGGCUCACCAAGGCAACGAUGCGUAGCUGACCUGAGAGGGGGAUCGGCCACACUGGGACUGAGACACGGCCCAGACUCCUACGGGAGGCAGCAGUAGGGAAUCUUCCGCAAUGGACGAAAGUCUGACGGAGCAACGCCGCGUGAGUGAUGAAGGCUUUCGGGUCGUAGAACUCUGUUGUUAGGGAAGAACAAGUGCUAGUUGAAUAAGCUGGCACCUUGACGGUACCUAACCAGAAAGCCACGGCUAACUACGUGCCAGCCGCGGUAAGAC
rnacentral:rRNA from 1 species